rnacentral:rRNA from 1 species
UACGUAGGGUGCGAGCGUUGUCCGGAAUUAUUGGGCGUAAAGAGCUUGUAGGCGGUCUGUCGCGUCUGCUGUGAAAUCCGGGGCUCAACCCCGGACUUGCAGUGGGUACGGGCAGACUAGAGUGUGGUAGGGGAGACUGGAAUUCCUGGUGUAGCGGUGAAAUGCGCAGAUAUCAGGAGGAACACCUAUUGCGAAGGCAGCUCGCUGGGACGUAACUGACGCUGAGACGCGAAAGCGUGGGGAGCAAACAGG